UACGGAGGGUGCAAGCGUUACUCGGAAUUACUGGGCGUAAAGCGUGCGUAGGUGGUUUGUUAAGUCUGAUGUGAAAGCCCUGGGCUCAACCUGGGAAUUGCAUUGGAUACUGGCAGGCUAGAGUGCGGUAGAGGAUGGCGGAAUUCCCGGUGUAGCAGUGAAAUGCGUAGAGAUCGGGAGGAACAUCUGUGGCGAAGGCGGCCAUCUGGACCAGCACUGACACUGAGGCACGAAAGCGUGGGGAGCAAACAGG
rnacentral:rRNA from 1 species